rnacentral:lncRNA from 1 species
CAGCCUAUAUGUACUCUUCAUGGAGCUCCACCUCCCAACCCAGACUGACUCACAUGUAGCAACACAACAUUUCACCAAGACUGUGACAAUCUAUUUCUACCCAGUACUGUGUCACUCCACAGGCUACUAGUGGACUGUCUGUCUGGCAACUGUCUACUACCCUUUGCCUGGCUGCUGAGGGGCUACUGUAAGCCCUGUGGACUGUGGGACAAGCCGUGUUGGACCGUUGGAUAUUGGUAUCUUUCUUUAGUGCAUAACUGUAUGGAUUAACUGCUGUUCUGUACCAUGGCGUUCCUGACACUCCGGGAGGAUUUCAACCAUGGUAAGAGAGAUAGAAGGCUGUAAUAUCAAGUUACAGACUAAGUUGAACAAGGCAGAAGAACAGUAUAAGUGCAGAGGGACUCUGGUUGAAGUGUUCUAUGGACAUGUAGGAGAGUCUAAGGGACAUGAGAGGUUUAUUGGCUGGACAUGUAGGAGAGUCUAAGGGACAUGAGAGGUUUAUUGGCUGGACAUGUAGGAGAGUCUAAGGGACAUGAGAGGUUUGUUGGCUGGACAUGUAGGAGAGUCUAAGGGACAUGAGAGGUUUAUUGGCUGGACAUGUAGGAGAGUCUAAGGGACAUGAGAGGUUUAUUGGCUGGGCAAGUUCCUGUGCCUGUCUGUUUCAGCCGAAUAGCAAUUUAGUUUUUGACGAUUGUAGAUGAACAACGAGCGCUAGAGAUCUCUGUAUGUCUCUCUUUUUCUCUCUCUGUGGUGAGAUAUGGUGAGCUGGAAGCAUGAGUGAAGGCUGAGGCAGGCAAAAAGACAGACAGGCAGAAAAGCAGGCAGGCAGAAAGACAGGCAUGCAGGCAGGCUUGUGAUGAGCUUCCUUUGAUUAUUCCCGCUGUCAUCAUCACAGCAGCAGAGUGACAGACGGGUGUAAACAGAAUUUUCACAUCUCCUUGGAGACACGGUAGUCAGAACCACUCUUCACACUCUGAGGACAGAGAACAUUCUGUGCAGAUGAAAUAACACUGGAAUUAAGUCCCAAAUAGACGCCUAUGCCCUAGGGUGCUAUUUGUAAGGCAUCCUGGGACUCAGACAGGGAUGUCUUAGCCCGUAAGGCACAGCACAUCGAUACAAAGUGGUUCUGUAGUAACAGUGUAGACACAGGUGUGUUGUCCCUAUGUGCAUUAGGAUAGAGUUUCAAUUUGAUAUCAAAGUCACGGCAGCGUUGUUUUGUCAAAUCCAGCUCCCACUAUCUAUGGUGCUACUUCAUACUGACCAUCUGCGUAGUAAUACGGCUUCAGUUUCAACAUAUCAACAUUAGUUACAUAAGCAAGUGUGAUUGAUAUCCUACUACUUCAGCUCCCCUCAGCAGGUUGACACAAUCACGAACAAUAUGAAUGUUCUUUGAGAGGGAGUCUAAGGACCUCAACAAAUGAUACUGUAGACUAACCUUGAGAAGAGAGGAGGAGGAGGAGAGGAGGAGGAGAGGGGG